rnacentral:rRNA from 1 species
GACGAACGUUGGCGGCGUGCUUAAUACAUGCAAGUCAACUGAAGCAGUGGUAGCAAUAUCGCUGUGGAGGUGGCGCACGGGUGAGUAACACGUAGGUAAUCUGCCUUCAGGUCUGGCAUAACUCCGGGAAACCGGGGCUAAUAGCAGAUGAUGCAGCGGCUCGACAUCGAGACAGUUGUUAAAGCUAUGGCGCCUGAAGAUGAGCCUGCGUCUGAUUAGCUAGUUGGCGGGGUAACGGCCCACCAAGGCAACGAUCAGUAGCUGGUCUGAGAGGAUGAUCAGCCACAACGGAACUGAGACACGGUCCAGACUCCUACGGGAGGCAGCAGUAAGGAAUAUUGCUCAAUGGGAGAAAUCCUGAAGCAGCAACGCCGCGUGAGGGACGAAGGGCUUUUGCUUGUAAACCUCUGUAGUGAGAGAAAAAAAUCCCAAUCUUUGGGACAUGAUGGUAUCUCAAAAGUAAGCCCCGGCUAACUACGUG